UAACUGUAGGCCGCUUCACGCGUGGUACCA
rnacentral:piRNA from 1 species